AGAAUCAACGCUGGCGGCGUGCCUAACACAUGCAAGUCGCACGAGAAAGGGGAGCAAUCCCUGAGUAAAGUGGCGCACGGGUGAGUAACACGUGAAUCAUCUACCUCCGAGUGGGGAAUAACUGAGAGAAAUCUUAGCUAAUACCGCAUAACACUUACGAGUCAAAGCAGCAAUGCGCUUGGAGAGGAGUUCGCGGCAGAUUAGUUAGUUGGCGGGGUAAUGGCCCACCAAGACGAUGAUCUGUAUCCGGCCUGAGAGGGCGCACGGACACACUGGAACUGAAACACGGUCCAGACUCCUACGGGAGGCAGCAGUGGGAAUUUUGCGCAAUGGGGAAACCCUGACGCAGCAACGCCGCGUGGAGGAUGAAGCCCCUUGGGUGUAAACUCCUUUCGAUCGGGAAGAUAAUGACGGUACCGAUAUAAGAAGCCCGGCUAACUUCGCGCCAGCAGCCGC
rnacentral:rRNA from 1 species